UCAUUAAGAUGCCUAUCAUCUAUUAUUGUCCUGAAGUCCAAAGGUAGAAGAACUUAAUGUUAAAAAUGGCCAUGGCCAUGGAGUUAACAUGACAUGAAAAAACAAACGUUUGGAUGAACACCAAGAAAGCCAGAGUUGGCUGGAAUACUGGCAGUUUGACAAGAAUAAUUUGGAUUGCUUAAUGGCGCACAAAGGUAACGAGGAAGUUUCUCUUUACACGUGUAGUGUCUUCAUCCCCGAGUUCUCCUGAGGCACCUAGGAAUCAAGACUAUUAGAUACUAGAAGAGAAAGGAAAGGACUCUUACAAAAUUUUAUGGAUACAGAACCCCUGUCUGCCUAGAAGACAGUAUCUCACAGCAGGCAUUCUCUUCCUCCGGCUCUCACAACCUUUUUGCCCCACUCUCUAACCCUUCGGUGUUGGAGUUGCAUUGAAGAUGUGCCUGUUUGGGCUGGGCACUCCAUGGUCACUCAUUCUCUGCAUUUUAACUAGAUGAGUAUUUCUUAUGUUAUGAAAUAUCCUCCAUAGAGUAGAUGGAACAGCCUUCGUCUGCUGUAAAUGGAAGCUUCUUUAAUGAAUGGUGAUGAAAUCACGAGCGUGUGUGGAGUGCGUUCAUCAGAGUGACUUUGGAAUGGCAAAGAUUUGUGAUUAUUCCCACAUUAUGUUCUCUUCCUGUGAAGCAAGAUUGUUCCAAAUCCCAUUGGAGAGAAAAGCUAGAAGAAAGUGAACAAUCAAAGACAUUCUCACCAAGAAGGGAGAGUCCUACAAGAGACAGGAGGACGGUAACUCUUGUGCUGGUGCUACAUGGCAGAGAUCUUUUUGACAUAAGGGAAGCAUGGAAACCAUUUUUGAAGAUGGUAUGAACAGCAUUGACAUGAGUGGACAAAGAAGCAGAAGGAUGGGAUGCCUUCCUUGCUGCCCUCCUGGGUUGGUGUUGCCAGCUCUAAUUUGGUGUUAAGUGACCUCUAAUUCCUAUGGUUAGCGUUUUGUGGCCAGAGUCAACAAAUUUGUGGAGAGCUGGUUAGGUUUGCAGAACACGGUAGGCAAACAUGCGUGGGUGGGCUCUCCAGGGUAAGGCACGUUGUGAAUGUUCUAGGUGAGUUUUCCAUGUGAUGUUGGACUUGCCCAUAAACUCUUGCCAAAGGGACUGUUACCUCCUAACAGGCCAUUCUGCCUGAGAUCCGCUCGGAACACCGUGUACUUAUCUCAAGGCAGCAUUAUCACGAGGACUCAAUGAAUAGAACGAUACAUUGGUGAUGGCACUGGCUGGGACUUCACUUUGGAUUUAGGGCCAACACAAAGGGUAAUUAGGAUUUAAUGGACCAAAUUUGACAAAUACAGAAGCUCCUGUAUUUCCCUACUUGAGAGUAUUAUUAUUAUUUACUAUUCUUGAAUGUAGUUCCAUUAUUCCACAGGACCCUAUCCUAUCGCAGUCUAUCCUAUCUAUGACUGGGUAUUAUCCUUUGAGAAGAUUUGAAACCUCGUGUAGCUGAAAAUGCCACAGUGCCUUCUGCACUUAAGCCCAAAGUGAAGCUUUGCAGGGACCACAUUUGGAUCUCCUCACGUAUCAUAGCAAAUGAGUCAAAUCCACUGAAUUUGUAAAAUGCCUCUUACUUCAGGCCCAUCUGCUGGCCAAUGGGCUUAGUGUACAUGGCUCAUAUUUAUUCAUUAGAAUUUGAUUGGACUGUUAUGAUUCAUAUUGGUGCUAGGGCGAUGGUCAGUAAAGUACUUGGUUUUUAACAAGCAUGCAGAUCUGAAUUUGACCCCUAGAACUCAUGUCAAAAGGCUGGUGUGGUGGCUCUCACUUGUUAUCCCGGCACUGGGGAGGCAGAGCUGGCCAGCCAGUCUUGCUACUUGGUGAGCUCCAGGCUAACGAGAGACUCUGUCUCAAAAGAAAAGGUGAAGAAGCAUACGGCACCAAACGGAUGACACUCAAGGUUGUCUUCUGCCCUCCACAUGCUCUCUCUAUCUCUUUCUCUCAUGUGUACCUGUACACACACACACACACACACACACACACACACACACACACACAUACACACACACCACGCCACACCACAAAUGAGCAUAGAACACCCCUCACACCAAGAAGAUUCAAUGCACUGGUGAACCAGAGGAAGUGACUGAUUUAGAGCAUAUAUGGAGUAGAUGAAGGUAAAGGACUGAAUGUCAGGAGACUGGUGAAGCAAUGCUGGUUUAAGAGCUUUCUAAACACUGUAUCAUUGUGAUCAUUUAGUCCUACAAGGGCUCUCCCCAUUUUGGCCUAGGUAGGUGCUUUGUUAGACCAUUUUCAAGAGUUUCAAGUCAGAGGCCAUGACAACUGCUUUUUUUUCUUUUUUUUUCCUUUUGGCUUUCUGUUCAGUCCAUUUUGCUUUCCCUCUAGUGGCUGAGUGGUCGGAGUGAUGUUAAGGAUGUAUGCAUCCUGUCUGCGUUCCUCAUGAUUUUCUCUUCCCAUUUCCCUGGAAAAGCUCUCCAUUUUAUUUUCAACUACAAUGUAAUGCCUCCCAAUUUAUAGUCAGAAUUUCACAUCUAUGGAUUGGAAAAGAAGACAAAAGACAGUCCAGAUUGAGACCUUUCCAACUUUGCUUUUGAUAGGUAGGUGAAUGCGAUAAAAUAGUCAAAUCUUUCCUAGCCAAAAGUGUCAAGAUUAUUGUGUCACUUGGAAGCUCUGUAAUGGUGACAGAUGGAUAUUAAAAUUCAUCCCUUCUAUAAAGAUUUAAAAUUUCCCUAAAGCAUUGAAAAAGGAGAUGACAAUACAGAAGAAAUUCAAAAAGAAAAAGAAUUCAAAAUUGUCCUUGUGUGUGUCUAUUUUCAUGCCUAUGUCUGUUUAUUGCCUCUUCCUUCCCCUUCCUGCCUUCAGUAGAUUGGCUGGAUCCUGGCACACGUGCUAUAGAAACCCGUGUGCUCUGCAUUCCUGUUCUUUUCUCCCUGCCUCUAGGGGCUGGUCCUUGCAAAGCAUUCUAUUGUCCUCACCAGUCUUUUGCUCUCUAGUUCUUUAUCUUCAUCUAGCUCAUGCACAUCUCGGUCAAUCAUUUCCUCUUGUUCACCAGUGCAUGGACGGUCCUCAGCCUUUCUAUGCCAACAAUGUCUAUUUCCUCUUCCUGUUCAUCCUCCUAAUGAUCCUGCUCUCUCUGCUCUCCUCCUCCUUGUAUCUCCUUACCCUAAUAAAAGCUUGGCUUUCUUGCUCAUUGAUUAACGUUUAUUAAACGCCAAUUAUAUACAACCCCCUCCUUUAAUACUUCGUGCGUGUUCCUACUUUUUUUUUUUUUCUGACUCAGAAAAGGUCUCAUUUGUCAUCCCCAUUGAGUAAAUGAUUCAGAUUUUGAGGUCUCUGAUUUCUUUGGCUACUUCCCUUUCACAAUUGAACACAGAACCUAGUAUAUUAUAAGAGUUUGGGAUUUAUUUAUAGGAAAUGAUUUAUUAUUAUUAUUAUUGUUAUUAUUAUUAAAAGUAUUUUGCUCUGUAA